rnacentral:rRNA from 1 species
GUGAACGCUGGCGGUAGGCCUAACACAUGCAAGUCGAACGGCAGCACAGUAAGAGCUUGCCCUUACGGUUGGCGAGUGGCGGACGGGUGAGGAAUACAUCGGAAUCUACUUUUUCGUGGGGGAUAACGUAGGGAAACUUACGCUAAUACCGCAUACGACCUACGGGUGAAAGCAGGGGAUCUUCGGACCUUGCGCGAUUGAAUGAGCCGAUGUCGGAUUAGCUAGUUGGCGGGGUAAAGGCCCACCAAGGCGACGAUCCGUAGCUGGUCUGAGAGGAUGAUCAGCCACACUGGAACUGAGACACGGUCCAGACUCCUACGGGAGGCAGCAGUGGGGAAUAUUGGACAAUGGGCGCAAGCCUGAUCCAGCCAUACCGCGUGGGUGAAGAAGGCCUUCGGGUUGUAAAGCCCUUUUGUUGGGAAAGAAAAGCAGCAGGUUAAUACCCCGCUGUUCUGACGGUACCCAAAGAAUAAGCACCGGCUAACUUCGUG